rnacentral:lncRNA from 1 species
UUUCCCAUUCAAAAUUUAAAGCUCCAAAAAUUUGAAAAAUUCUCCCAUUUCACUCCUCAACCAAAACCUUAACCCCCUCUCUUCUCUCCACACUCCCUGUCGCCGCCAUCCUCCGAUGGCCAAACACCCUCCAACCAACGCCAAUCUCUUCCUCUCCUCUUUCUCUCCUCUUCCUCUUCAUGAAUCCACGAACCAAAUCCCUUGAAUCCCUCCAAUACUUCACGAAUAAACCAACAUCCGAAAACCUAGCUCACUUUAUUUUGUAAAUUCGUCGAGUUUUAGACCUCUCCUUUGGACAAAUUGUUUGACCAAAAAACUGUCCUUUGAAUAGUAUUGGAUAGAUUUUGGUAAAAAAUCCAUCCAAAUGAGAGAUUUUCAAAGAUACAUGCUUUACUUUCCCUCUUGUAAAAGGGGAGGUCUUUCCUCACUUUUGGAUCAUCAUCUGGAGAUUCUAAAAAAGACACAACAUCAGAGAGGGAAAGUGCUGAAAAUUGUGAGCCUUCUUCUAAGUAAUUUUGAGUACACAUCUUGGAUUCUAGAAAGACACAUCUUUUAUACACUCUAUCACGCAUCUGCUAGGCAUUUUUACACACUAAGAAAUACACUUGUAGGAGUAAAAAUUUGCAGCUGAACUUAAAGAAAGCAAGCUAAAAUUGUGAGCUUUAUGAGUGCUUCUUAGAGUGAAAAUUCUUUUCAAAAAGAAUGUCUUUUAGAGUUUAUUCCGGGUUUCUUCUCUAAGGUUUUUGGGAUGUCUGGAUACAAAUUUACAGCUGUUGUUGCUCGUUUUCAUUGCUGUUUUUCUGCUAUUUUGUUGCUGUUUCUGCUCAUCUCAUUGCUGUAUUUUCUUCCUGUUAUCCAGGUAAUUCUCUUAAGUGCUACUGCAAUUUUGGGUCAAGAAUAAAUGGAGACGAAGCAAUUUGAGUUCUCUUCAGCUUAAUCUAAGCUUUUAAAAUCAUUCUAUUUCUUGUAAAGUUUUGUAUGUGAGC